GCGCGAAACCUCCGCAAUGUGAGAAAUCGCGACGGGGGGACCCCAAGUGCCAUUCUUAACGGGAUGGCUUUUCUUAAGUGUAAAAAAGCUUUUGGAAUAAGAGCUGGGCAAGACCGGUGCCAGCCGCCGCGGUAACACCGGCAGCUCCAGUGGUAGCCAUUUUUAUUGGGCCUAAAGCGUUCGUAGCCGGUUUAAUAAGUCUCUGGUGAAAUCCCGUAGCUUAACUAUGGGAAUUGCUGGAGAUACUAUUAGACUUGAGGUCGGGAGAGGUUAGAGGUACUCCCAGGGUAGGGGUGAAAUCCUGUAAUCCUGGGAGGACCACCUGUGGCGAAGGCGUCUAACUGGAACGAACCUGACGGUGAGGGACGAAAGCUAGGGGCGCGAACCGGAUUAGAUACCCGGGUAGUCCUAGCCGUAAACGAUGCGGACUUGGUGUUAGGAUGGCUUUGAGCCGCCCUAGUGCCGAAGGGAAGCUGUUAAGUCCGCCGCCUGGGAAGUACGGUCGCAAGACUGAAACUUAAGGAAUUGGGCGGGGAGCACCACAACGCGUGGAGCCUG
rnacentral:rRNA from 1 species